UAGGGAAAAAAACUUUGGCCAUUGAUCAUUUGUAUUUUUUCUAUGCAUUGACUUCGUGUGAGAUAAGGUCCUGUGCACGUUUACUCCAUAUUCUUUUUUACUGUUUAAGAGUCUAAACAUGACUUCAUGCAAGUUUAAUCCUUCAAUGUAAAAGGUCAUAUGGCAAUACAUUGACUUUUUUAAAGAUGAUUUGAUACCGGGAAAUUGGUGGUCUUACUUUAAUUUAAACCAUGUCAGCUAUCUAGUUUCAUCUACAAAAAAGAGCCAGUUUUGUAUUCUUGAUAUCAAGUUCAAUUCUCCAUGCAGAAACGACAAUUUUUUUUAUGUCCAGUAGCAUCGUAUAUUCUUAAAAUAGUUUCUCGUACAAUGUCUG
rnacentral:lncRNA from 1 species